AACGCAAAUGGCACUCUAUGGUAUUCCGUAGAGUACGUCUGUUUGAGCGUCGCGAACAUCUCCAUAAUUAGUUUUUUUAAUUAGUUGAGGGUUUUGAGGUUGUCAUAUAAACAGUGACUCCCUUUAAAAUAAUUAGUGAUGACCUUAUGAAUGGGUUAAUACUGUGUGUUAUAAUGGAUUAUAUCCAUCACCAGUCAGAGAGUAAUCUCGCCUUAGUAAUUUGUAGUGAUUGCUUCUAACUGCCAAUUGGCAACAACCUGAUCAAAUCGACCUCAAAUCAGAUGGGAUUACCCGCUGAACUUAA
rnacentral:misc_RNA from 1 species